UGGGGAAUUUUGGACAAUGGGGGCAACCCUGAUCCAGCAAUGCCGCGUGUGUGAAGAAGGCCUUCGGGUUGUAAAGCACUUUUGUCCGGAAAGAAACGCCGUGGUUAAUACCCGUGGCGGAUGACGGUACCGGAAGAAUAAGCACCGGCUAACUACGUGCCAGCAGCCGCGGUAAUACGUAGGGUGCAAGCGUUAAUCGGAAUUACUGGGCGUAAGCGUGCGCAGGCGGUCCGCUAAGACAGAUGUGAAAUCCCCGGGCUUAACCUGGGAACUGCAUUUGUGACUGGCGGGCUAGAGUAUGGCAGAGGGGGGUAGAAUUCCACGUGUAGCAGUGAAAUGCGUAGAGAUGUGGAGGAAUACCGAUGGCGAAGGCAGCCCCCUGGGCCAAUACUGACGCUCAUGCACGAAAGCGUGGGGGAGCAAACAGGAUUAGAUACCCUGGUAGUCCACGCCCU
rnacentral:rRNA from 1 species